CGGGUAGAGUAAUACAUCGGAACGUGCCCAGUAGUGGGGGAGUAACCCGGCGAAAGCCGGACUAAUACCGCAUACGACCUACGGGUGAAAGCAGGGGAUCGCAAGACCUUGCGCUAUCGGAGCGGCCGAUGUCAGAUUAGCUUGUUGGUGGGGUAAAAGCCCACCAAGGCGACGAUCUGUAGCUGGUCUGAGAGGACGACCAGCCACACUGGGACUGAGACACGGCCCAG
rnacentral:rRNA from 1 species